UCCUCCCACCCCAUCAUGGAUUUCUCCCCGCUUCUUUUUUCAUCACUGAACACACCAAAACUUCAGGUCAUCUUUUCUCCUUCUGCUGCAGAUGAACUCUCCUUGCUCUGAAGUCCCCCAGCCUUCUUCUCUCCAGUCUACCCCUCCAAACAAAUGCACCUUCAUGUUCCCUGGGAUUACAGGGCUUUGACCGGCCCUCUGCAAAGACACGGAUUUGGGAUGCAGAGCCAGAGCUCUGGCUGUGGCUGUGCUUCAGACCCAUCCCCAGGCAGCCAAAAGGAAAUUGUUGUCAUGUUCCAGGGCUCACUUUGCAGCUUCAUCUGCCGUCUGCUGAGCAGCGCUCGGGGUUUGGAUCCAAAAGGCUCCUUGAUCUCGCAGAGGCUCUGCUCCGUAAUUUAUUAACAUCAGAAAUGCUGAGUUAUGGGGCAGAAGUUAUGGAAAAAUCCUCUCGAACGUUUACAAUUUUUUUUGCACAUCAUUUGAGGUUUCCUGCCCCUCUAAUUUGUGGGCUCUCUGUUGGGUUGUUUCUUUCACAUUUUAAUGGGCAGCGUCCAAGGUUUGGCCCCGGCAGAGGUGUGCCGGGGGGCUGGAAUGCCUGCGGAUCUGUCGUCAGUUGGCUUAAUGGAUUCCUAGUGUGCAUGGAGAAACGGAGCAACCAGGAGUUUGCCAUCACUGACCCAGCGUCCUGUUGCUAUAACAUCCCUCCCCAGAAGCCCAGAGUGUAAUAAACCUUCUCAUCCCAUGGUCGCAGAAUCUGCCUCUGACAGCUUGGCUGAUGUGCACAUUUUAUUUGGCAGGAGUUGGAGAUUUUUCCUUUUUUUUCCCCCCUUUUUUUGCUUUAAUGACCCACGAGCUGAUUUAGAGCAAUAAACUGUUGCCAUGAA